rnacentral:rRNA from 1 species
UACGGAGGGUGCGAGCGUUGUCCGGAAUCACUGGCGUAAAGGGCGCGUAGGCGGCCUGAUAAGUAGGGGUGAAAUCCUGCGGCUUAACCGCAGGGCUGCCUUCUAAACUGUCGGCUAGAGCACGGUAGAGGCAGAUGGAAUUCCGGUGUAGCGGUGGAAUGCGUAGAGAUCGGGAAGACAUCAGUGGCGAAGGCGGUCUGCUGGGCCGUUGCUGACGCUGAGGCGCGACAGCGUGGGGAGCAAACAGG